UGCAAGUCGAGCGGUAACAGGAGAAGCUUGCUUCUCGCUGACGAGCGGCGGACGGGUGAGUAAUACUUAGGAAUCUACCUAGUAGUGGGGGAUAGCUCGGGGAAACUCGAAUUAAUACCGCAUACGACCUACGGGAGAAAGGGGGCAACUUGUUGCUCUCGCUAUUAGAUGAGCCUAAGUCGGAUUAGCUAGAUGGUGGGGUAAAGGCCUACCAUGGCGACGAUCUGUAGCUGGUCUGAGAGGAUGAUCAGCCACACCGGGACUGAGACACGGCCCGGACUCCUACGGGAGGCAGCAGUGGGGAAUAUUGGACAAUGGGGGCAACCCUGAUCCAGCCAUGCCGCGUGUGUGAAGAAGGCCUUUUGGUUGUAAAGCACUUUAAGCAGUGAAGAAGACUCCAUGGUUAAUACCCAUGGACGAUGACAUUAGCUGCAGAAUAAGCACCGGCUAACUCUGUGCCAGCAGCCGCGGUAAUACAGAGGGUGCAAGCGUUAAUCGGAAUUACUGGGCGUAAAGCGAGCGUAGGUGGCUUGAUAAGUCAGAUGUGAAAGCCCCGGGCUUAACCUGGGAACGGCAUCUGAUACUGUUAGGCUAGAGUAGGUGAGAGGAAGGUAGAAUUCCAGGUGUAGCGGUGAAAUGCGUAGAGAUCUGGAGGAAUACCGAUGGCGAAGGCAGCCUUCUGGCAUCAUACUGACACUGAGGUUCGAAAGCGUGGGUAGCAAACAGGAUUAGAUACCCUGGUAGUCCACGCCGUAAACGAUGUCUACUAGUCGUUGGGUCCCUUGAGGACUUAGUGACGCAGCUAACGCAAUAAGUAGACCGCCUGGGGAGUACGGCCGCAAGGUUAAAACUCAAAUGAAUUGACGGGGGCCCGCACAAGCGGUGGAGCAUGUGGUUUAAUUCGAUGCAACGCGAAGAACCUUACCUGGUCUUGACAUAUCUAGAAUCCUGCA
rnacentral:rRNA from 1 species